rnacentral:rRNA from 1 species
GUGCCAGCAGCCGCGGUAAUACGGAGGGGGCUAGCGUUGUUCGGAAUUACUGGGCGUAAAGCGCACGUAGGCGGAUCAGAAAGUUGGGGGUGAAAUCCCGGGGCUCAACCUCGGAACUGCCUUCAAAACUAUUGGUCUUGAGUUCGAGAGAGGUGAGUGGAAUUCCGAGUGUAGAGGUGAAAUUCGUAGAUAUUCGGAGGAACACCAGUGGCGAAGGCGGCUCACUGGCUCGAUACUGACGCUGAGGUGCGAAAGCGUGGGGAGCAAACAG